rnacentral:lncRNA from 1 species
UCCUAUUCUGAUGCAUAGCCCUUUAAACUGUUUUUUAUGAUCGUCGCCGCAAUGUUAAUUAAAAUGCUAAGGGGAGUUGGGUAUUUGAUGUGAGUUUCUCGACAGACCUUUUCGCACUAAUCUUCACAUGGGAGAAGUUAUGGGUACUCGAUAUCGUGGUAUCAGUCUAAGUUGUUCACACGUUAGCAUUGAAGCAGUACGCGCCCGAGUGGCCCGGAUAAACAUCGUUCCAGAAUAAGAGGUGCCAAGAUUGACAUCGGCCGUUCACGCAUCAUGCAGGAGUGCAAAGGGUGAUGGGUCCAUGACCCCUGCAUGCUUAGGAUUUAGACCCGCGGGUUGGCCUCUCUAUUGAGCCUAGGUAGGGUUGCGACGUGUUGAUGUUUCGAGGUUGGGUAUGACUGAGAAAAGUGUGUUUGGUCAGAGUUUAUCAAGCGUGUUGGGUAUUGUAGUGCACCCUACAGGGAUGAAAAUUAACUAUUUGAAUAGUCGUGUCCACGGUUACAGGACGACUUGGAGUUGUGCUCCGAUCUUAUACGACCUCAACUGUUACUUAACUGGAAUAUUUUCUUCGGGAUUGCUUUCUCACUGGGAGUCGAGGAAGAAUCUUUACGCGUGACCUUAUUUAAUAUUGCUGCAACAAUAUGAUUAUAUAUUUGUGUUACUUGCUUUACUCUUGUGUAUUGCUGCAAGACGCUGAAGAUGCUAGUCUUUGAUAGGACUAGUCCUUCUCUCUCUAUUUUUGCAUUGUUGUAGUC